UACUCCAGUGGCAGGGUGCCACUUCUGUUGCUCCAAUAAACUGCAACCAAGAACUAAAAUCUUUGACAGUGCAACCAACCAUGCAAUUCAUCAAGCAGCCUCCAAGGCUCGAAAUAGUGAGAAACCCUCAUCACUUAAAGCCUGAUCUUUUAGAGAUUCAGAGGUAGACCUUUAACAAAGAUCAUUACUGAAGCUGUGCUCCACCAGUACUUGGGCUGGAAGUGUUCACAGGGCUGCCCCUGAAUUUGUG